rnacentral:piRNA from 1 species
GAAGUUGCACAGUGAGAAUCGUGAA